rnacentral:rRNA from 1 species
UACCGAAUUCAGAUAAACUCCGAAUGCCAUGUACUUAUACUCGGGAGUCAGACUGCGAGUGAUAAGAUCCGUAGUCGAAAGGGAAACAGCCCAGACCACCAGUUAAGGUCCCCAAAUAUAUGUUAAGUGGAAAAGGAUGUGGGGUUGCUUAGACAACCAGGAUGUUGGCUUAGAAGCAGCCACCAUUGAAAGAGUGCGUAAUAGCUCACUGGUCGAGUGACCCCGCGCCGAAAAUGUACCGGGGCUAAACAUAUUACCGAAACUGUGGAUGAACCUCUUUAGAGGUUCGUGGUAGGAGAGCGUUCUAAGGGCGGUGAAGUCAGACCGGAAGGACUGGUGGAGCGCUUAGAAGUGAGAAUGCCGGUAUGAGUAGCGAAAGAAGGGUGAGAAUCCCUUCCACCGAAUAUCUAAGGUUUCCUGAGGAAGGCUCGUCCGCUCAGGGUUAGUCGGGACCUAAGCCGAGGCCGAUAGGCGUAGGCGAUGGACAACAGGUAGAGAUUCCUGUACCAGUGCUAAUUGUUUAACCGAUGGGGUGACACAGAAGGAUAGGGAAUCGCACGAAUGGAAAUGUGCGUCCAAGCAGUGAGUGUGAGAAGUAGGCAAAUCCGCUUCUCGCGAAGCAUGAGCUGUGAUGGGGAAGGAAAUUAAGUACGGAAGUUCCUGAUUUCACGCUGUCAAGAAAAGCCUCUAGGAAGAGUAGUACUGCCCGUACCGCAAACCGACACAGGUAGAUGAGGAGAGAAUCCUAAGGUGAGCGAGAGAACUCUCGUUAAGGAACUCGGCAAAAUGACCCCGUAACUUCGGGAGAAGGGGUGCUCUAUUAGGGUGCAAGCCCGAGAGAGCCGCAGUGAAUAGGCCCAGGCGACUGUUUAGCAAAAACACAGGUCUCUGCAAAACCGUAAGGUGACGUAUAGGGGCUGACGCCUGCCCGGUGCUGGAAGGUUAAGAGGAGUGCUUAGCUUCGGCGAAGGUACGAAUUGAAGCCCCAGUAAACGGCGGCCGUAACUAUAACGGUCCUAAGGUAGCGAAAUUCCUUGUCGGGUAAGUUCCGACCCGCACGAAAGGCGCAACGAUCUGGGCACUGUCUCAACGAGAGACUCGGUGAAAUUAUAGUACCUGUGAAGAUGCAGGUUACCCGCGACAGGACGGAAAGACCCCGUGGAGCUUUACUGCAACCUGAUAUGGAAUGUUUGUACCGCUUGUACAGGAUAGGUAGGAGCCGAAGAGACGUGUGCGCUAGCAUACGAGGAGGCAAUGGUGGGAUACUACCCUGGCUGUAUGACCAUUCUAACCCGCCACGCUUAGCGCGUGGGGAGACAGUGUCAGGUGGGCAGUUUGACUGGGGCGGUCGCCUCCUAAAGAGUAACGGAGGCGCCCAAAGGUUCCCUCAGAAUGGAUGGAAAUCAUUCGCAGAGUGUAAAGGCACAAGGGAGCUUGACUGCGAGACUGACAAGUCGAGCAGGGACGAAAGUCGGGCUUAGUGAUCCGGUGGUUCCGCAUGGAAGGGCCAUCGCUCAACGGAUAAAAGCUACCCCGGGGAUAACAGGCUUAUCUCCCCCAAGAGUCCACAUCGACGGGGAGGUUUGGCACCUCGAUGUCGGCUCGUCGCAUCCUGGGGCUGUAGUCGGUCCCAAGGGUUGGGCUGUUCGCCCAUUAAAGCGGCACGCGAGCUGGGUUCAGAACGUCGUGAGACAGUUCGGUCCCUAUCCGUCGCGGGCGCAGGAAAUUUGAGAGGAGCUGUCCUUAGUACGAGAGGACCGGGAUGGACACACCGCUGGUGUACCAGUUGUUCCGCCAGGAGCAUCGCUGGGUAGCUAUGUGUGGCAGGGAUAAACGCUGAAAGCAUCUAAGCGUGAAGCCCCCCUCAAGAUGAGAUUUCCCAUUUCUUCGGAAAGUAAGAUCCCUGAAAGAUGAUCAGGUAGAUAGGUUUGGAGUGGAAGUGUAGCGAUACAUGGAGCGGACAAAUACUAAUCGAUCGAGGACUUAACCAAAA